rnacentral:rRNA from 1 species
GACGAACGCUGGCGGCGUGCUUAACACAUGCAAGUCGAACGGAAAGGCCCCUUUGGGGGUCCUCGAGUGGCGAACGGGUGCGUAACACGUGAGUAACCUGCCCUUGACUUCGGGAUAACUUCAGGAAACUGGGGCUAAUACCGGAUAGGAAUCCUUGCUGCAUGGUGGGGGUUGGAAAGCUUCGGCGGUUUUGGCUGGACUCACGGCUUAUCAGCUUGUUGGUGGGGUAGUGGCUUACGAAGGCUUUGACGGGUAGCCGGCCUGAGAGGGCGACCGGCCACAUUGGGACUGAGAGACGGCCCAGACUCCUACGGGAGGCAGCAGUGGGGAAUAUUGCACAAUGAGCGGAAGCCUGAUGCGGCAACGCCGCGUGCGGGAUGACGGCCUUCGGGUUGUAAACCGCGUUCAGCAGGGGCGAAGCUUGUGGUGACGGUACCUACAGAAGAAGCACCGGCUAACUACGUG